ACGAACCCCGGCGCGGCAUGCGUCAAGGAAAACUCAAAGAAGCGUUGAGCUCCCAUCGCCCCGUUCGCGGUGUGCAGUGUGGGAACUAACGUCUCUAUAAUGUCAUAACGACUCUCGGCAACGGAUAUCUCGGCUCUCGCAUCGAUGAAGAACGUAGCGAAAUGCGAUACUUGGUGUGAAUUGCAGAAUCCCGUGAACCAUCGAGUCUUUGAACGCAAGUUGCGCCCGAAGCCAUUCGGCUGAGGGCACGUCUGCCUGGGCGUCACGCAUCGCGUCGCCUCCCCCACCCACACCCCAUGGGGCGUUUGGGUGCCGGGGGCGGAAAUUGGCCCCCCGUGCAUUUUUUCGCGCGGCCGGCCUAAAUGUGAACCCGUGGCGACUCGCGUCACGACCAGUGGUGGUUGAACACUCAACUCUCG
rnacentral:rRNA from 1 species